AACGUAGGAGGCGAGCGUUAUCCGGAUUUACUGGGUGUAAAGCGCGUGCAGGCGGUCUAUUAAGUUGGAUGUGAAAGCUCCUGGCUCAACUAGGAGAGGUCGUACAAGACUGGUAGACUGGAGAGCAGUAGGGGAAGGUGGAAUUCCGGGUGUAGUGGUGAAAUGCGUAGAUAUUCGGAGGAACACCAGUGGCGAAAGCGGCCUUCUGGACUGCAUCUGACGCUCAGACGCGAAAGCUAGGGGAGCAAACGGG
rnacentral:rRNA from 1 species